GUGCUCGCUUUGGCAGCAUGUGUACCAAAAUUGGAACAAUAUAGAGACGAUUAGCAUGGCCCCAGAGCAAGAACAUGAAUGCCUCAGCUGAGCUUGAAGGGACGUCUGU